rnacentral:misc_RNA from 1 species
UGAGAAUGAUAUACAGUUGAGAGGUUUGUCCGUAAUCUCGUCUCACGCCAUCUCUCUCUGAGGACUGAGCAGUGAGCCUACAUAAAACCCGCACCGCAAACCGCUCUAAAACCUAAAAUCCGCUCAAAUCAACUAAAAUCUGAAACAAUGUCCACUGCAGACCCAAUCGAAUCCUUCAAACCCUACCAUCUAACCCAAACUCUAACAGGCCACAAGCGUGCUCUCUCCGCCGUCAAAUUCUCUUCCGACGGCCGCUUUCUUGCUUCCUCCUCUGCUGACAAAACCCUCAGAACCUACUCCCUCUCCCCCUCCAAUCCCCCUACUUCCCCUCUUACACCUCUCCAUGAAUUUCACGGCCACGAGCAAGGCGUCUCCGAUGUUGCGUUCUCUUCCGACUCCCGCUUCCUUGUCUCUGCUUCCGACGACAAGACCAUCCGUCUUUGGGACGUCACUACCGGCUCCCAGAUCAAAACCCUCCAAGGCCAUACCAACUAUGUCUUCUGUGUUAACUUUAACCCGCAAUCCAAUAUGAUCGUCUCGGGUUCUUUUGAUGAGACGGUUAGGAUCUGGGAUGUGAAAAGUGGCAAGUGUUUGAAGGUGCUUCCGGCUCAUUCCGAUCCUGUGACAGCUGUGGAUUUCAAUAGGGACGGGUCGCUGAUUGUUUCGAGUAGUUAUGAUGGGUUGUGUAGGAUUUGGGAUGCAGGGACUGGGCAUUGUAUCAAGACUUUGAUAGAUGACGAGAAUCCGCCUGUUUCGUAUGUCAAGUUUUCGCCCAAUGGCAAGUUUAUUCUUGUUGGCACCUUGGAUAACACUUUGAGGCUUUGGAAUUUCUCAACAGGGAAAUUUCUGAAGACAUACACUGGACAUACUAAUUCGAAAUUCUGCAUUGCAUCCACCUUUUCUAUAACAAAUGGGAAGUACAUUGUCAGUGGUUCUGAAGAUAAUUGUGUAUAUUUGUGGGAACUUCAAACCAGGAAAGUAGUUCAAAAAUUGGAAGGUCACACUGACACUGUUAUAUCAGUAGCAUGUCAUCCCACCCAGAACAUGAUUGCAUCUGGUGCCCUUGGGAAUGACAAGAGUGUGAGGAUCUGGACUCAGGAAAGGGAAUGAUUAAUUUUCUGGUGGUAGUUCUGAAACAUGAUUUCACCUGUGCAUAGAUUUUGACCAUGAAGGAAGAACUAUUCGCUUUUGGCUGAAGCUUCUGCCUUUUGUCCAGACCCAUGUUAUUUCUACAUGAGAUAAGUUUAUGGUCCCUGUUCUAUUGCCUUGUAGCUUCUUUAAAUUGUUUCUGCCUGGUUGUGAUGUACUCUAGAACUUGUGACUUUUGAGCUAAUGGUAAAAUAGGAUUUUUAUCAUCAUUUUGAAAAAAA